CAUGUGCUAUGGGAGGGACCCACUGUGAAGUAAUUGAAUCAAGGGAUGGUUAUCCCCAGGCUAUUCUAGUGGUAGUGAGUUCUCAUGAGAUCCCAUGGUUUUAUAAGGGGCUUUUCUCCCUUUGCUUGGUACUUCUCUUGCCUGCCACCAUGUAUGAUGUGCCUGUUUUGCCUUCUUGCCAUAAUUGUAAGUUUCCUGAGGCCUCCUCAGCCAUGUGGAACUGUGAGUCAAUUAAUUCUCUUUUCUUUAUAAAUUACCCAGUCUCUGGUAUGUCUUCAUAGCAGCAUGAAAAUGGACUAACACCAUUUCCACUUCUAUCCCAGCACAAGCAGUGUAACAAUGACUACUGAUGUGGAUUCAGAGCCCAGUGUUGGAAUGCUCAUGCUAUUCAGGUGGAUUCUGUCUGGUGCUAGGAGGACUGUACUGUUCAGGUUUUAAUGGCCACCAACAGUGGAGCUGGCUUCCAGACUGUGAAUAGAUUCAGGGAACAAGAACAAAAACAAAUCAACAACAACGAAAACAGCAACAUCUGUGUAUACUGUAGAAGCAGAUUUGUCAUUAUUUGGUACAUUGGCUUAAUACUGAGAAAGGACUGAAUAAUUACUUUAAAGGUUCAAUCCCAUCUUGCACUUCUGACAAAUCAUUCUGUCCCCGAUGAAGAACACUCCGGCAACUUUGGGCUGAAAUGCAAGCAGAUUCACUCAGUCCCCACAAACUUUCAAAAAUGUGCAUCUGGAAAAAAAAAGUGACAGAGACUGACUCCCAGAGAUAUUCCCCAGGAACUCUCCCCAGUCUGUGGUGCAAUAUGUGGUCUGACCCAGCUGGACACCGGGCAGUACUUGGCCUCCAGCCCUUCUGGCUGGAGUCUUCCCCAAGGUCACCGACUUCUUCCAAAUUGUGAAGGAUGAAGGUCAUUUUGAAUAUUGACAUUUGGAUGGGAUAUGGUAGUGACAGUGGGACAGGAAGCCCCAAGAAGUGGAUCUCAAGACCUUGACCAAGCUACAUAAUCAGAAUCACUUAUUGAGCAUCUACUCUGUAGCAGAUGCUGUUGUAGGAUCUUUUAAUCUUUGUUUUCACUCCUUACCAUGACCCUCACGGUAAGUGCAAUUAUCCUUGUUUCAUUACUGAGAUUCCUGAAGCAUGAAGAGGUGAGGAACUUUCACAAGGGUUUGCAGCCAUGAAGUGAAAGGUCUGGGAGCUGACCCAUAAUUCCCAUGGCUUUACAUGUUGUUCAUUUCAGGAAGCUGCACAAUUUCCUUGUGGAAAUAGAAAUGUCUGGAGACCGCCUAUGGGGAACAAUAUUUGACGGAUGAAGAUUCUAUCUGUGAAUAAGUAAUAAAAGUGAAGAUAAAAACGUUGGAACUGUAGAGAUUGAAAAAUUUGUAAAUAACCCCCCCCCCCAUACACUGCCAUAUCCUUACAUAGGUUAUCCCUAAACCUCUGUAGAGGGUAUCUGUGUUUUCUGUCACCAGAAUCUAUUUCCUGAAAUUCAGGAAAAAAUGUACACAGAAUUCCUGCCUCCUCCAAAAUCCAGCAUGUGUUUUCUCACAAAUGUACAGUCCCCAGAUGCCUGGCCACUGUGAAUACCUUUAAGCCAAUCAGAAUCAAAUACAUGUGUGUAUAGAAAGUUCUGCCACAUACACGGUUGCCCUUUCUCUCUGGCUUUUACUUGGAAAUCACAAGCUGGAGCCACUACUGUCAUCUUGCCACCCACCAUACAUAGCCAUCAGGAUGUAUCUGCAAGAUAGAAAGAAACUGGGUCCUGGUGAUGCUGGAAUUCUGGUGAAGCUAUACAUAA